CCCGUAAUACGGUUGAGUUUUAAUCUUGCGACCGUACUCCCCAGGCGGUCAACUUCACGCGUUAGCUACGUUACCAAGUCAAUGAAGACCCGACAACUAGUUGACAUCGUUUAGGGCGUGGACUACCAGGGUAUCUAAUCCUGUUUGCUCCCCACGCUUUCGUGCAUGAGCGUCAGUAUUGGCCCAGGGGGCUGCCUUCGCCAUCGGUAUUCCUCCACAUCUCUACGCAUUUCACUGCUACACGUGGAAUUCUACCCCCCUCUGCCAUACUCUAGCUCGCCAGUCACAAAUGCAGUUCCCAGGUUAAGCCCGGGGAUUUCACAUCUGUCUUAACGAACCGCCUGCGCACGCUUCACGCCCUGUUAUUCCGAUUAACGCUUGCACCCUACGUAUUACCGCGGCUGCUGGCACA
rnacentral:rRNA from 1 species